rnacentral:rRNA from 1 species
CUAGCAUAUCAAUAAGCGGAGGAAAAGAAACCAACAGGGAUUGCCCUAGUAACGGCGAGUGAAGCGGCAACAGCUCAAAUUUGAAAUCUGGCCCUUGGGUCCGAGUUGUAAUUUGUAGAGGAUGCUUUUGGCGCGGUGCCUUCCGAGUUCCCUGGAACGGGACGCCUUAGAGGGUGAGAGCCCCGUACGGUUGGACACCAAGCCUCUGUAAAGCUCCUUCGACGAGUCGAGUAGUUUGGGAAUGCUGCUCUAAAUGGGAGGUAAAUUUCUUCUAAAGCUAAAUAUUGGCCAGAGACCGAUAGCGCACAAGUAGAGUGAUCGAAAGAUGAAAAGCACUUUGAAAAGAGGGUUAAAUAGCACGUGAAAUUGUUGAAAGGGAAGCGUUUGCGACCAGACCUUUUCCCGGCGGAUCAUCCGGUGUUCUCACCGGUGCACUUCGCCGGGUUUAGGCCAGCAUCGGUUUCUGUAGGGGGAUAAAAGCUUUGGGAACGUAGCUCCCUCGGGAGUGUUAUAGCCCUUUGCAUAAUACCCUUACGGGGACCGAGGACCGCGCUACGGCAAGGAUGCUGGCAUAAUGGUCGUCAACGACCCGUCUUGAAACACGGACCAAGGAGUCGAACAUUUGUGCGAGUGUUUGGGUGUUAAACCCUCACGCGUAAUGAAAGUGAACGGAGGUGAGAGCCCUUACGGGUGCAUCAUCGACCGAUCCUGAUGUCUUCGGAUGGAUUUGAGUAAGAGCAUAACUGUUCGGACCCGAAAGAUGGUGAACUAUGCGUGGAUAGGGUGAAGCCAGAGGAAACUCUGGUGGAGGCUCGCAGCGGUUCUGACGUGCAAAUCGAUCGUCAAAUCUGCGCAUGGGGGCGAAAGACUAUCGAACCAUCUAUGUUUU